rnacentral:lncRNA from 1 species
CUGCUUUUCUGGUUUACUCGACAAAUUCACUGAGAAUAACUAGGACUGAAACAGGUACUUGUAUAUGAAGUCCUUGAUGUGUCCAUAAUGCCUCCCUAAUCUAGAUUUUGGGAGGUUACUGAAAUAGAUGUAUGUAUGUGUCUAGUUAACAAAUCGCUUAAUAUUUUAGGUGUCUAAAUGGUGGAACUGUCUAUUCUACUCCUGUAAAGUGUUUCCCUUCAUGCUAUAAGCAUCAAGGUUUGUUUUUUUUUGGAGGGGGGGGGAGUCUCCUAAGGAGGUUUUUGUGGGGGGAGGGUGAAUGUAUUUGUGAAUCAUUUUGUUUUCCUCCAGCUUUAUUAUCCAAAUUGAAAAAUAAAAACCAAAUUGUGCCUCCUAACGUAUUCUCUCUCCUGUCCCUUGGUAGGAUGCUGGUGGACUGUGUUCCCUUGGUGGAGGUUGAGGACAUGAUGAUCAUGGGAAAGAGGCCGGAUUCAAAGUGUGUCUUCACCUACGUCCAGUCCUUGUACAACCACCUUCGGCGGCACGAGAUGCGUAUGCGAAAUAAGGAAUUUUAAUAAAUCCUUCUUCCUGUUUUACCCUGACACAGCACUAUCUGACUAGCACUUGCAGUAAUACUGCAUGUCUUCACAUUCUGUAAAUCACAAAAAACGGACGCUUCCAGGAAUGAAAUUGUAGCAUGAAACAUUUGAACCCUAGAAGUUUACUGACUGUACAUUUUUUCUAUGUUCUCUUUGCUACAUCUAACAUGGUCUCCUGCUUGCAACACGUUGUCCUGGAGGAGAUCUCUGCAAUACAAUGCUGUGCAAUGUGUUUGAAGUCCUGUCGUAGCGCAACGGUCAGGUUAACUAGUGCUGUGCCAGAGGAUCCUGUUAUUGCCUCAAAUGCCUUCCCCUCCCUCCCACAAAUUAAUAUAUUUAGAUAUUAUAAUUAUUAAAUUGCAUCAGGUAAAUCCUGGCCCUUAAAAUUUCACAGCCACAAGCUUUACAAAGGACAGCGACAAAGAUCUCAAGUUCUGGGUUUCUUUAGGUUCCACUUCCAACAAACACAUCAAUGCUUCAGUUUCUUCAGCAAAGCUGUGUUGCUUUUUGCAAAGUAUUUUAAUGGACCAUCUAAGCAAAUAUAGUGUGGGUUUAUUAUCAUUGCAAUGUAUGUAUAAUCGCGCCCAUCACAUUUUAUUAGUUGGGUUUUUUUUGUGCACAGUUGCAAGUUGCAGUGUGACAUUUUUAGUUGUAAAAUUAUCAAACUAAUGCUCAGAGGGACACAGCUUGCUUAUCCUGCAGACCGUAAUAAGUUGCACAUCCAUAGGACCCAUUAAGUGGGAGAACAUCUAGUUUGUGUUAAUACAGGUUUUAAAAUGAGUUCGGGCAUAUUUUAACACUAAUAGACAAAAAAAGAUUGUGUGUUUAUUGCACUUUUAAAAAUACAAUUUACUCCUUUCUUACAAUUUUAUUGUCAUUUGGGUUUCUGUUAUUCAUCUAUAACAGAGGGCAUCAGAACUGAGACACUUUGCAAAUAAUAUAGUACAAUUUGUACUCUUCUAUAAACCAGUCUAGGAAUUUUGACAUCAUGGUAUAUAAUAAGAAAAAAAACUUUCGGCUAAUACUGGCUGUGAUAAUAGUUGAUCAUCAGAAAUGUCUGUUACACAAAUCAUUACAUACAAGGAGAUGGCUUUACGUAAGUUCUGAUGGCAGUAAAGGAUGUCCACUACCAUAUUACCUUAAGUGGCUGAAGUAUAGAGUAGAUGUAUGUUCAUGGGUUGCAUAAGCACACUUUAUAAGAAUUGUUAGACCAUAUGUAUAAGAGGGAAUCUCAAUCUCUCACCACAAAAAAAUGUUGGCGCAGUUCCUAGAACAGAAUAAACGUCUUUGUAUGUUGUAAUAGCAAAAUUGCUCCCAAAUGCAUAGACCAUAGAUUGAAUGGGUUUUAAUUCGCCUCUAAUAUGCUCCAUGUUGACAAGACACGCAGUGCAUGGAAUCAAAGGUAUGUGUAAGAUUAGAUUCAAAAGUAAGUACAUAACAAAUGAGUGCUUGCACAUACUUUCUUUCUUUUUUGUAUAUCCUUCAUUAUAGAAAAAGUGAAAGGAUCACAAUGAAUCAAAGAUGGCCAAAACUUAAAAUUUCCAUAUAUUUUAUUGAACGAAAAUCUUUGUAACAUAUGUAGGUAUGGCUGAUUUAUUUAACCCUAUUGGUAUUCAUGAGUGAGAGUUGGAAUAUUGCUAUUCAUAUACCACACUGUAAUAAGAACUUAUACCAAAUCAUUGGGUUUUUAUUAAUGGUAUACCAUUAUGCCAAACAGUGUGUGAAUGUAGUCCAUGCAUAACUUGUACUUGCAUCAAACAAAUAGAUCCAGAGGAAGUGUUGUUGGCCGUAUAGGAAUGUUAGAUAAAAUGGUGAAUGAUUUAUUGUAUACUAAAUACAUUCAAAUCUUGCAAAGUAGAUGCAAGCAAUACAUUUUUAAAUAUUGUUUAAAGAAGACCAUUCUCUCCAAUAUGGGCUGCUAACAUUUGAAUCCGGAUUUUCAUUUUUUUUUUAAUUCACUAUUCAUUUAAUCCUAAGGAUGCCAAAUGUGUAGUGAGGAGUGCUCAAUUAUGGAGUAAAUGAUUUCAAACACAGGGCAAAACAUUUUUUUUAUUCCAAAUGUUCAAGGUUGUAGCUCCAGAGCCAAUUGAAAGUCUAUACAAUAAGCACAAUUUGACCAUAAAAGCUACAUUCUAGGCACUAUAACCAUUUCAUAUCAUUAAAGUGGCCCCUAGCAUCACCCCUUCAUUCAAUGUUAAACCAUUUUAGAUUGGUUCAAGACUGAAUUUAGAAUCUCUGGCAGCCCACCGCCUGACCUCCUCUGGGCUAAGGCAGAGUUUACACUCUUCCUUAGUCAUACUAAUCAGAUCAGGAGCAAUCAGCUGACACUCUGCUAAUCACACAGUCCAUUGCUGUUCAGGCUAAUGCUUCCUCAUUAGACUGAGCAGAACAGAGUGGGUAAAAUGCCAGAUCUCCCCGUUUAACUUUAAAGCAUUAAAAAAAUAGGGACUCUGUGUCCUAUAACCUCAUCAAUAAGCUGAAUUGGUUACAGUGCCUAACACUUCUUUAUAAAAGUGUUUGCUUACUUGCCAAGUAGAGGCUAGCUAAUGUUAAGCAAAUCAGCCAUUCCGCUUCAGAUCUCUUGGAAACUGAUUAUGAUGUUACAGACCAUUUUUUUCCCAGUAAAAUUCAUUUUAAUCUGCAAUGAUUUAACCUCAGCAUGCAAACUGAGAAUUUCCUAUUGCAGAUUUUCUUUGACUGCUACCAUAGUAAUGCUGUAGACCAUUCUUUAUUAUUGACCGACAGGGGCACCACAUAAUGUGGUAAUCUGGCAGUGGGCAUUUUCAAGAACAUUAACAUAAAGAGCAUUUACAGCCAGCCCAACCCACUGGUGCCUUUAAAUGUAGAACAGUACAGUUAUUCUUGCAUCAUAAUAAACCUGCUCCAGUGAGUGCCUUGUUACUUAACAAUUUCAGCAUUUUAAAUGAAAUGUCCUCCUUUGUUUUUCCUUACUUUUGAAAUCCUUCAUUUUCUUAUGUUGCAUAUUACAUACAUAACCAUGUUCCCUGUGUUAAUAACGUGCAAUGGGUCUUUUUGUUUACAAUAGUGCCACAUUUCCUGCCGAAUUUUGCGUUUAACGUACACAGGUAUUCUGUUUAUUCUCGAAGGUGAUUGUUUGAAACACAGCACUGUAUGCCAUAACUGGUCCAACAGUGCCUUUAGAAAUACAACUUGGGUGUAUUUGUGAGUGAGGGCAUUGCAGCAUAAAAGAACUGAAGCUUCCAAAUUGGAUCUGGGUUAAACAUAAUUUUAUGUUGGAACCUCUUAUAGUGCCCCUGGCAUGAAAGAAAAAAAAGCGUGCCACAAUUUUUAGAAUAACAAUCUUUCCACACAUUGACCACCUUCUGCGUUACGGAUUAUAGGAUGCAGUAUGUGAUACUGCUUGUUUGUUUAUUGAACCACCUUGGAACAAUGGGUAGCAAGCAAUGUCCUUGUAUCUUUUGAUUUGCAUGGUUUUUUGCUAUUCUUCCUGUUAAAAUGGAUAGAUUGGAUUUUACCUGCCCGAAGCUAACCAUGUCUACUUCAAAAAAAAAAACCAACAUCAUAAUUUUGUGACACAAUAAAAUGUUUGAACUUGCAUAAAAUUUCAUGCUAAAAUUCAACUUGUGUGACACGGUCAAUGUUAAAACGCCUUUGUAUGCACAUAUGUACACGUAAUGUGUGGGUUUUUUUACAUGUAUAGACAUACGCACUUAUUUAAGUGUUUGUGUGUAUAUUCCUGUUUGGUUUUUUUUAAUUUAUCUGGUAACUUUCUUGUCAAUCCAGUACCCAUAUUGAUUAUUAUUUUUAAGUAUUUUUCCCUUACAUACCAGCUAAUGACUUUUAAAGCAGAUGUGUUUUUUUUUUUUUACUGGUGGCAAAACAUUCAGGAGGUGUUUAAUAGAUGUGUGCUUCUGGAUGGAAGCAGGCCUUUUAAAUUUGUACAAUACUCAUUAGCUGCUUGGCUGCUGGAAGUAUCUGUUUUUCAGUGCUUUGCAGGCCUGUCUGGUAUAGAGUAUGGAUGCAUUACUCACGCAGUUCUACUUGCUUUUUUACCAGAAAGCUUUGAUCACUCUACAGACACAGCUUUUAUGUCACAUUAUUUUUGUACACCAGUGUGUGCUGUCAUUUUAAUAAAGAUUAUAU